GCCUCUGUGAUGCAGUGGUAGCUCGCGCCCCCGAAUGGGUGAAACGCGGGUUCGACUCCCGCCUGAGGCG